rnacentral:rRNA from 1 species
AUUGAACGCUGGCGGCAGGCCUAACACAUGCAAGUCGAACGGAAGAGGGGAGCUUGGUCCGGGAUUGAGUGGCGGACGGGUGAGUAAUGCCUAGGAAUCUGCCUGGUAGUGGGGGAUAACGUCCGGAAACCGGGGCUAAUACCGCAUACGGCCUGAGGGAGAAAGGGGGGGAGCUUCGGACCUCACGCUAUUGGGGCAGCCUAGGUCGGAUUAGCUAGUUGGUGGGGUAAAGGCCUACCAAGGCGACGAUCCGUAACUGGUCUGAGAGGAUGAGCAGGCACACUGGGACUGAGACACGGUCCAGACUCCUACGGGAGGCAGCAGUGGGGAAUUUUGGACAAUGGGGGGAAGCCUGAUCCAGCCAUGCCGCGUGUGUGAAGAAGGUCUUCGGAUUGUAAAGCACUUUAAGUUGGGAGGAAGGCCAGUAAGCUAAUACCUUGCUGUUUUGACGUUACCGGCAGAAUAAGCACCGGCUAACUUCGUG